UACGGGGGGGGCAAGCGUUGUUCGGAAUUACUGGGCGUAAAGGGUUCGUAGGUGGCCUACUAAGUCAGACGUGAAAUCCCUCAGCUCAACUGGGGAACUGCGUCUGAGACUGGAAGGCUUGAGUGCAGGAGAGGAACGCGGAAUUCCAGGUGUAGCGGUGAAAUGCGUAGAUAUCUGGAGGAACACCUGUGGCGAAAGCGGCUCACUGGACCAUUACUGACGCUGAUGCACGAAAGCUAGGGGAGCAAACAGG
rnacentral:rRNA from 1 species